rnacentral:tRNA from 1 species
GGUGUUCUAGCUCCACUGGGUGAGAGCGCAAGCCUGAAAAGCUUGAGGGCAGGGUUCGAAUCCCGGAAUACCA